rnacentral:rRNA from 1 species
UACAGAGGUGCCAAGCGUUGUUCGGAUUUAUUGGGCGUAAAGGGUGCGUAGGCGGCCAUACAAGUCGGAUGUGAAAUACCGGAGCCUAACUCCGGAACGGCAUUCGAAACUGUAUGGCUCGAGAUCUGGAGAGGUGAUUGGAAUUCUCGGUGUAGCAGUGAAAUGCGUAGAUAUCGAGAGGAACACCUGCGGCGAAGGCGGGUUGCUGGGCUGAUACUGACGCUGAGGCGCGAAAGCUAGGGGAGCGAACGGG